GCCAGACUCCUACGGGAGGCAGCAGUGGGGGAUAUUGCACAAUGGGGGAAACCCUGAUGCAGCGACGCCGCGUGAGUGAAGAAGUAUUUCGGUAUGUAAAGCUCUAUCAGCAGGGAAGAAAAAAGACGGUACCUGACUAAGAAGCCCCGGCUAACUACGUGCCAGCAGCCGCGGUAAUACGUAGGGGGCAAGCGUUAUCCGGAUUUACUGGGUGUAAAGGGAGCGUAGACGGCAAUACAAGUCGGAAGUGAAAUACCCGGGCUCAACCUGGGAACUGCUUUGGAAACUGUAUGGCUGGAGUGCUGGAGAGGUAAGCGGAAUUCCUAGUGUAGCGGUGAAAUGCGUAGAUAUUAGGAGGAACACCAGUGGCGAAGGCGGCUUACUGGACAGUAACUGACGUUGAGGCUCGAAAGCGUGGGGAGCAAACAGGAUUAGAUACCCGCGUAA
rnacentral:rRNA from 1 species